UGAAAUUCGCCUUCAUGAAGCCGGAAUUGCUAGUAAUGGCAGGUCAGCAUACUGCCGUGAAUACGUUCCCGGGCCUUGUACACACCGCCCGUCACACCAUGAGAGUUGGGAAUACCCGAAGCCUGUGAGCUAACGUUAAGAGGCAGCAGUCGAAGGUAGAAUCAAUGAUUGGGGUGAAGUCGUAACAAGGUAUC
rnacentral:rRNA from 1 species